UCACAGUGAUGAGCUUUCACUUCGUGGUCCGUGUUUUUGAAACUUUGUGAUAACUGAAGAAGUUCUGAGUUU